ensembl:lncRNA
GCAGGCUCUGUUGGUGGAAUGUGGGGCAGGUAUGUGAUCUGGCCGCUGUCGGUUCCUCCUCGCCCCAUCGCAGCAGACGACCAGAUGGAGAGAUCGCAUCAUUCCUCCUUUCUAAGAUAUCAUACAUUCCGGCUUUAUGGGAUAUUUUCAAAGUAUAUGUUCAACGAGUUUUGGACACAGUGCUGACGGGCGGAGGGACAGGCCGAAGAGCGUCGGACCCAUGACAGAUCUCUCGUGUCCCGAGGUGGAGCGCGGCUCUCCUGUACAGAUGCAGAGCCUGCGGGAGUUUGAACAGCACCAGCGGUCUAGCUCCACUGCCGUCUGCCGCAGGAGAGACAGGGGUCUGUCUCCACUGCCGUCCGCCGCAGGAGAGACAGGGGUCUGUCUCCACUGCCGUCUGCCGCAGGAGAGACAGGGGUCUGUCUCCACUGCCGUCCGCAGGAGAGACAGGGGUCCAUCUCCACUGCCGUCCGCCGCAGGAGAGACGGGGGGAUUUUAGAACUCUUUGAACUUCUAUUCACUGGAAUAUUUUUUACUAAAACAGAGCAAUUAGAAUUACUAUUUUUUACAGUCUAUUUUGGACAUAUUUUAAAUAGUAAAAACAACAAACAAAUAUAAAUGUAUAUGUAGCUUCAUGGGCAAUUAUUGUGUAUAUAUUAUUAUUUUUAUACAUUUUGGAAAAUAAAUAUAAGCAAAACCUUUAAUGUUAAUUAUUUCAUGAUCAGAUGUCAUGAAUUCUGAGUGAUAUUGUUGAGAAUAAUUUUAAUUAUUAUUAUAUUAGCUUUUAAACACAAAGACCUGAGGUGUAGAUGUUUGGACAAUCGGGAUCUUCCACUGUCAUUCCUCUCCUCGUUUAAAGCUGAUAAUGAUACCUAACAUUGAAUAAUGCUAUUGUAUUGUGUUAGGCUAAUAUUAAUUUUGGAAUAUGUCACAGAUAACUCCAGCUUGUACCGCCUGCAUAGAAAUAAAUCCAAUUACAUAACCAUUACAAAUGUCAGAAAAUAAAUCUUCUAGUUGAUUUGAUUUCCACACACUGACGACACUGCUAUUUCUGAUUGCUGUCGUGAAUGUUUAAUCCUCUUUAUGGUUCUUGUGGUGUAAGAAGCCAUGAAUCAGGGCUGGAAAACUAAAAAUAAAUGUCAUACUGACUCAGAAAUGUUACACAUCAUCCUUAAAUGCAUGUACAAUUAUGUGCUUAUUUUUAUUGCAUCAAAGCAGUUGUGAG